UGCAUGAUAGUGUAAAUUGGAAACAUAGUAGCCUCAUGAGCUAUUGAUUUACGUUCGAAUCGUAAUCGUGCAC
rfam:Pichia angusta strain DL-1 mitochondrion, complete genome.